CGAGGCGUGGCUCAGUUUGGUAGAGCACCGUGUUAGGGACGCGGGGGUCGCGUGUUCAAGUCACGUCGCCUCGA
rnacentral:tRNA from 1 species